AUAGAUCUAUACAUGCACCAUGAACUAAUUGCAGCCAGCCACCCACGUGUUCUCACAUUUCAAAAUGGCUGCUCAGGCAAAGUUAAGUGCCUAAAGAGGGAAAAGAGAAGCUAUCCACUCCUUCAGACCCACCAAGAAGAAAGAAAGAACAGACUAAGACAGUUUACUAGGACCAAGUAGAGCCUGAGAUACAACCAGAAAUAGAAAUACUACUAAUAAUAAAAAUGAUCUUUGAAAUCCUCGUACAGUAUUUUUUGGUAACAUUCCUCUGUCAACUAAAAAGAAGGACAUACUCAAGCUGGUCUUCCCCUGUGGUUCGGUCGAGUCGCUACGGCAACGAUCAGUUGUGGUUUCUCCUGGUAAGCUUCCUGUUAGAGUUGCUAGGAAACUUAGAAAACAGUUGACAGGGACGACUACUAAUUUCUAUGUUGUUAUGGAGACGGAGGAGUCUGCUAGUGCUUGUUUGAAGUUGAAUGGAUAAGAGGUUGAUGGGAGACAUAUUAGGGUUGAUCUGGCCACACCUACUAAUGACACUCACUGUUCUGUGUUUGUAGGUAAUGUACCUUUGUACCUUUUGGGGCCAAUAAAGAGAAACUGAGAAAAGUAUUUGAGUCCUGUCACCACUGUGGUCUUAUUGAUGGCAUUCGUAUCAUUAAAGACACUAGAACUGACAUUAACAAAAGGUUUGCUUAUGCCAUAUUCAAAGACAGCAGCUCUGUCUUAUUUGCUUGCAAGAAAAAUGAGAGGCUUGAACUAGAGGGACGGAAACUAAGAGUUUUUUGCUGUCGCAGCAAUAAGUCAAAGUUUCAGACUAAAUUUGGAGGAGCCAAGUCCCAAGUUGGUCGUAAUAAGAAGUUGCUCAAGUCGUUCCAACCUUCAAAGAAAAA